GAAUGUGGUUUCCUCUUAUGCUGCAAACACGCUUCCUGUGGUCUACGACAGAGGUCUUAUCGGAACAUUCCAUGACUGGUAAUUCAGAUUUUGCUUGCGAAAUUGAAGCCUAAACUGCAGCAGUUGAUCGAUUCAUUUGUAACUGUGUCUUGUUGUUGUUAUAUAGGUGUGAGGCCUUCUCAACGUAUCCUCGUCGAUUUUGCUUGCAAAAUUGAAGCCUAAACUGCAGCAGUUGAUCGAUUCAUUUGUAACUUUGUCUCUUUGUUGUUAUAUAGGUGUGAGGCCUUCUCAACGUAUCCUCGAACAUAUGAUCUCCUUCACCU
rnacentral:lncRNA from 1 species